UUAAUCAUCCGCUUCCCAAUAAUUUCCCAUCUCCCUUUCCCUUUCAGAUCCGAUCACCUCAUCUCCGGAAUGCUGAUCUAAAUUUCCAUGUUUUUUUUGGGAGACCUGGUAAGGGAACAUGUCGGAUUCAGGUUUCUAGCAUAGAAGGCGGUGCCAAUAGAAGUCAAUGACAUGUUGCGCUUUUUAUGACACUGGUGAACGUCAAAGGCGUUUUGUAAUGAAUCGACUGGAGGCUAAUUAACUCUAAACAUUCAAAUGUGUAUGAACACAAAAAGAAUUUGUGUACAGACAAAAUUAAGGGAGAAAUUUUCAUUCAUUAUAAGGAAAAGACAUGUAACUUUUGAAGAGUUUGUUCGAAAAGCUAAUGAGGAGAAUUCAUUGUCUAGGCUUAUUCUAGAUGUUAAAUUAGAAUUAUUCUAAGUUGGUGACAAACUUAUAACAAUGGCAUGUGUUGCUUUGGUCAGCUCGGAAGCUUAUGUAAGAUAAUGCAAUAUGAGUUGAAUUCACUUAUACAAUGAGGUUGAUCUUGUUCAAUCAUAUGUGUAUAAAU
rnacentral:lncRNA from 1 species